rnacentral:rRNA from 1 species
AGGACGAACGCUGGCGGCGUGCUUAACACAUGCAAGUCGAGCGGAAAGGCCCUUCGGGGUACUCGAGCGGCGAACGGGUGAGUAACACGUGAGUAAUCUGCCCCUAGCUCUGGGAUAGCUCCGGGAAACCGGGAUUAAUACCAGAUACGACCACUUUAGACAUCUGUUGUGGUGGAAAGAAUUUUGGCUAGGGAUGAGCUCGCGGCCUAUCAGCUUGUUGGUGAGGUAACGGCUCACCAAGGCGACGACGGGUAGCCGGCCUGAGAGGGCGACCGGCCACACUGGGACUGAGACACGGCCCAGACUCCUACGGGAGGCAGCAGUGGGGAAUAUUGCGCAAUGGGCGAAAGCCUGACGCAGCGACGCCGCGUGGGGGAUGAAGCCCCUUGGGGUGUAAACUCCUUUCGAUCGGGAAGAUAAUGACGGUACCGAUAUAAGAAGCCCCGGCUAACUUCGCGCCAGCAGCCGC